UUCAACUUCUUCACGGAUGGCUCGCGUUUCUGGGCUCCAUUUGCUUCAUUACAUGGAUCUCCUACGUCGUUGUCGCGCUCUCAAAUCGCAUCAACUGCGUGACAGGUAUGAGACCAUUAUUUUCGCGAUUUUGGCAAGAGAAAAAAAAUAAAAAAACAAAAAAAAAAAUGUGUUUUUUACCACAGGAAUCAGCUCCUACGUACUGGCUUUGACGGUGUUAGCGGCAGGAACGUCCCUUCCAAACCUUAUGGCGAGUAAGAUCGCUGCGGAGGAAUACGACACUGCGGAUUCAGCCAUAGCAAACAUCAAUGCGAGGUAACAGAUUCUUGACUUCAUGUUUACCUGCUUGAUGAAAGUUCUCUUCACAGCAAUUGUAUCAAUGUUUACGUGGGAUUUGGCGUCCCGUGGUGCGUCUCAGCACUCUAUAGCACGGGCUUCCAUCAGAAUCUGGUGGUUCCC
rnacentral:lncRNA from 1 species